GAUCCUGGCUCAGGACGAACGCUGGCGGCGUGCUUAACACAUGCAAGUCGAACGAAGAGCGAUGGAAGCUUGCUUCUAUCAAUCUUAGUGGCGAACGGGUGAGUAACGCGUAAUCAACCUGCCCCUUCAGAGGGGGACGAACAGUUGGAAACGACUGCUAAUACCGAAUACGCUUGGGAGACCGCAUGAUCUACCAAGGAAAGGGUGGCCUCUACCUGUAAGCUAUCGCCUGAAGAGGGGUUUGCGU
rnacentral:rRNA from 1 species